GAGAAGAACGCAGCGAAAUGCGAUAAGUAAUGUGAAUUGCAGAAUUCAGUGAAUCAUCGAAUCUUUGAACGCAUCUUGCGCUCCUUGGUAUUCCGAGGAGCAUGCCUGUUUGAGUGUCAUUUAACUUCUCAACCACAUUGGAUAUUUUUUUUCCGAUGCCGGCUUGGAUGUGGGGGUUGUUUGCAGGCUUUUUGUAACAAAAAAGGUCGGCUCCCCUGAAAUGUAUUAGUGGUAUCUGAGGCUAUUACUAUUAGGUGUGAUAAUUAUCUAUGCCUUUUGGGUAUGCCGCAUGAACAGAUUAUGCUGCUUCUAACGAAAACUAUUUUGAUGAAUUUGACCUCAAAUCAGGUAGGACUACCCGCUGAACUUAAGCAUAUCAAUAAGCGGAGGA
rnacentral:misc_RNA from 1 species